rnacentral:lncRNA from 10 species
AGGUUGACUGUGUUUGUCUCUAGAGUUCAGACAUUCAUUCAGCUUGCUGAUGAAGGACACCUUUUACAACUUCAAGCUUUCCUGCUGAACCUUUGAUACUCCUCUGAGUGAAUCGAUGGCUGAGUGUCCUGGGUAGUGAAUAUGGGAUUCCUCAACCCGGAUUCAACAGGGAUUUCCAUCUGAAGAAACAAUUCAGGGCUCCAGAAAGCAGUCUGGGAUUUCUUUAGCACCUGAAAUGUGGACUGUGCAAAUACCAACAGGAUUGUAUUGAGAGGAACACAUUCUCUAGUGAAGGAUGCCUUCCUGCAGGGUGAGUCUGCAAGACUCAAUAGCAAAUGGCUGCUAUACAAGUAACAAAAGACUCAAUAUAAUGAUUUUAAAAUGAUUAUGGUUGGCAAUUGUUCAAGAUUUAUGAGAUGUGAGAAAUGAAGAGACCAAGAGUAUUGAUACAUUAUGGAUAUUUUUAUUCUGAAUUAAUAGAUAGACAUUUAUUUGCCAGGCAAUGUUGCAGGGACUCUAGUUUCAGUCUUCUACACAGAGAAUUUAAAGGGCAGACUUUAGUUUUAUCUACAGUACCCUUCAUCUUUACUCUAUUUGAUAACCUGGCACUCCUAACCUUAAUUUCCUUGUAAAUUAAGAGUAACCCAGUGCUCCAUGCAAAUUGUAUAGACUGUGAUAUUUAUGCAGUGAAGGACAGGCACAAGAUUAUUCUUAAAUUGGAAAGAAACUGGAAGUGUUCUAGGGAAACAAAGAGAGGAGAUAAGACAUAACAGUUUUUCCUUGUUUGCAUGAGAAAUUUUUUCUGUUCUUAUAAAUAGAAAACUCGGCCAAGCGCAAUGGCUCACCUGUCUAAUCCUAGCAGUUUGGGAGACCAAGGCAGGUGGAUCACUCGAGGCCAGAAGUCCAAGACCAGCUUGGGCAAUAUAGUGAGACCUUAUCCCUACAGAAAAAAAUUAAAAAUUAGCUAGGCAUCGUGGCACAAACCUAUAGUCCUGGCUACUCAGGAGGGUGAGGAAGGAGGAUGACUUGAGCCCAUGAUUUCAAGGCUACAGUGAGCUAUGAUCGCACCACAGCACUCCAGCCUGAGUGACAGAGUGACCCCUAUUCCCCACAAAAAAGAAAACUCCCUUUAAAUUAUAGAUGCUCUCUGAACUUACUUUGGGAUGACAUUCGCGUAAACCCAUCAAAAGUUGAAAAUAUCAUAAGUUGAAAAUGCAUUUAAAUCACCUCACUAACCUAACAUCAUAGCUCAGCCUAGCCUACCUUAACGUAUUCAGAACACUUACAUUAGCCUAUAGUGGGUCAAAAUUGUCUAAUAUGAAACCUAUUAUAUAAGAAAGCGUUAAAUAGUUCAUGUAAUUUAGUGAAUAAAUCUGUGAAAAACAGAGUGGUCACGUGGGUAAUUGAAAUAUGGUUUCUAUACAAGGUGUAUUGGUUUUCUGCCGUCCUACAGUCAAAAUAUCUUCAAUCGAACCAUUGCAAGCCAGAGAGCAUUCAUUUUAAAAAAUGUAAUCUUUGUCAGCCACAAAUGACAACAUAUGGUACGAAAUGUAGAUUUGGGUCCAGAUGUGGUGGUUCAACCUAUUUAUACACAUUUCCUUCAAUUCUAAUGUUUCACUUUUCAUAUGGGCUUGUUGCAAGAUGGUUGUGUCAUGUGACUGCCUCUUUCUGCAGACAUUAAUAAGAUGAACAGGUGGAAGACCAGGUGUAUUCAAAUGUAUUUUCAAGGGUCUUUGUUUUUUUCUUGUGGACUGCUACUGCAGUGAAAUUAGGCAAACUUGUUUUUCCAGACCCUAGUUUAAUCGUAUCAACACAAAAAGUCUCCAAACAUCCUUGCCACAUCACAGCAGGAAAUUAUCUUGAAGAAGUACCUUGAGGCGAUAGUAGGUCUCAUGUCACUAUUUCAUAUCCCACAGGUAUCACUGUCCUUCGUUGCUUCAUGCACAGUGUCUCACAAACCAUUGUUCACAUAAUUUGUCCACUUUUUUUGCAUUUGUUAAGGCGUAUUAAACCCUAUGAAUUUUACUACAAUAUUUUGAUUCCAG